GUGGACAUACUAGCAUGGUGCACUUGAAAUUCAAGAUCACGUAGUGCAGACAAUAACCUAGCACCUGGAUGAUUGAGAUUCUCAGAUUGAACCCUAAUCAUGGCGUCAUUACCAAUAAUCUUAACAUCAAUAUCAAGUGCAAAUGCAGUUCCACCAGAAUUAGGCCCGGCUUGAUCUACAGAAGUGGUUGUGCUUUGAUUAUCUGUAUUAUCAGUCACUUCCAAUUUCGCCCUUUUGGAUUUCUCUCUUUGUAGCUGUGACUCCAAUUCAUCAAUUUUGGCCUUCAGUUCGUUUAUAUAGCACGCAGCAUCAGAUAGCAGUGAUGCUUUGUCCAUUCUGGA
rnacentral:misc_RNA from 1 species